rnacentral:rRNA from 1 species
UACGGAGGGGGCUAGCGUUGUUCGGAAUCAUUGGGCGUAAAGGGCGCGUAGGCGGCCGAUCAAGUCGGAGGUGAAAUCCCUCGGCUCAACUGAGGAAUUGCCUUCGAUACUGUUCGGCUUGAGUCCUGGAGAGGGUAGCGGAAUUCCCGGUGUAGCGGUGAAAUGCGUAGAGACCGGGAAGAACACCAAUGGCGAAAGCAGCUUUCUGGGACGGUACUGACGCUGAGACGCGAAAGCGUGGGGAGCGAACAGG